CCAGGGAAGCACGAGGAUGGGCUCAUCCAAUGUGCACACGGUCAGGUGGCUUUUCUGCUCCAUGAACCUGGAAGGAGGAUCCAAGGGACAAGGUGGACCAAGGUCUUGCCUGGCAUCAGGGUCACCCGAGCCACAGAAGGCUCUGAGUUGGAGGCGAAGGUGGGCAGGAGGUAGUUGCCUGUGCCCAAACGGGCCGUUAAGGCAUCCUUGCCUACCUGAAUGAGCCAGUAAGUGCAUUCUCAGUCGCAAACUAUCCAGGAACCGCUUUCCGCAGAGCUCACACCCGUACGUCUUCAUCCCACUGUGCAGCUUCCUGUAGGGGAAAGGAAAAGACAGGUUGCUGCUGCUCUGGCUGGAACGAAGGCAGGCCCAACCCUACCUGGGGGCUCUGAAGCCAUCUCUCAGGAGAUGUUCUACAGGGUGGCAAAGGCUCCAUUUGUAAGUGGCUCUUCAGCUGAACUUCUCACACACAGUCCUGGUGACGUCUAGUGGAUGACAACUUACGAGUUCCAGUUUAUUUUCAUCCUCUUCAUUGGUAAUUUGUUAGUUUCCAGAGGUGCUCACCUUUCACUGGUGGCUGUCAAGAGGAACAGAUGGACCAACACCCACUUGGAUUUACUUUCCAAAAGGAAUCUACAGUGGCCAGUAUUAACAUUUGGGGAGCCACCACCAGCCAGGCUAACCUCCCCUCUUGGGCUCCUUUUUUUAAAAACAUUUUUUUCUUUUUUAGUUGUGGAUGGACACAAUACCUUUAUUUAGUAUUUUUUAUGUGGUACUAGGGAUCAAACUCAGUGCCUCAUGUGUGCUAGGCAAGCGCUCUAUCACUGAGCCACAACCCCAAUUCUCCUAUCUCUUCUUGAGAGCUCCAGAUCAAGUCCUUCACCCUGAUGAACACUCUUUCAGUAAUACUUCUGGCCUUUUCCCUAUAUGCAAAUGGAUUUGCCUUGAAAUUGCUGGAAGUGUCUUUUCUUCCAGUGGCCAACUGGAGUGGCUUGGUGUGAAAGAUGAAGCACCUUUGCCCUUUCCUUAUAGAGAUAGCAGGGCACAGGAAAGAAUGCCCAGUGAGCAGCUAGAAGACUUAUAUCCUCAUCUUGACUCAGUCAAGAUAGCUUGUUUCAAGACCUUGGACAAGUAGUGCUAUCAUAAUCACUCCUCUUUUUCUCACCUGUAAAUGGAUGUGGAUGAUAGCUAAAAUUUCAGGUGGAGACCAAAUUUUAUUAUUCAAAAGUCUUACCCACAUCCUUUUACCUUGCCUCCAAGAAGUCCCUCUCAUGGGCACCAUUAUUCUUGCUGAGCCAUGCUCCACUUGUCACUGCCCACUAUGAUGUUCUCUGACACUCAGGCAGUCAGGCUAAGAGAGCCCAAGCAACCUGGACCCAACCUGGCAAUCUAUUCAUUUAAAAACUUUCUAAUCCAGAUGGCCAGAGUUUCCUCUUUCACUCACUUGUUAUUUGUUUUUCAUUAAAAAAAGCUCCCAGAACUCAUCACAAGCCUUUCCUCUGAACAUCUUUGCCACCAUGCACUUCUAGCCUUCAGAGACGUAGAUGUUGUCUUGUCCAAUCCUCAGGGUGAGAACACUACCCUGGAACUCUGUCACUAACACAGUGACCCACACAGGUUACCAUGGGCGAAUGUGGGAUCCACGUAAUCCUUACCUAGGACAAGCACACAGGUCUCACCCACUGGCAGGGAGAUCCAGGCAAAUCACACAAAGUCCAGAAGACAAAAAGAAAACAACUUCCCAGCCUGCCUGGGAGUUCAACCUAGCCUGUUUACUCCCAUCUUUACUUAUUGUUCAGAUACCAAGAAGAGUGUAGAGAAGUGGAAGCUUCUCCUGAUUCAAAGAAAAAUAAGUUAUACUCCAUGGAUGUACAGUAUGUCCAGAUGCACUCUACUGUCAUGUAAAAAUAUACUAAAAAGAACAACAACAAAAAGCAAAUGGCAGAGAAGACUUGAUUGCAUUCACUGGGCCUGGUGACCAAUAGACUCUAUGACAGAGUCCACAGAAGAGCCAAUGUGGAUAUAGAGUUCCCAGUGGUUUCUAGAGCAAAAGUACAACUUUGUAUGAACUUACGGUCAUCCCUCUUUAGAACACAACCUCCCCAAACCACCACCACCACACUAUGCAGGGGCAUUUAGAUCAAAAUAGAAAUUCUGUCCACCUUCUUCCUCCUCAUCAUACGCUUGAGUCCUGUCUUUUCACAAGGUAUGACUGCUUAGGACCAUCUGAAGUCAUCAACCUCCACUAUGCACAGGGAAGGACACCUAGGGAUAGUUUUACACUUUGCUGUGUACUUCUCUGGUUGAUAUUGAAGUUUCUAUAUUCUGUUCUCUGAGAAAAAAAGCCACAUGGCUGACCACCACCUUGAAAGUAACUUGGUUCUAGCAUAGCCCAAGCAUUUGACCCCCUCCCCAUAUGCAGUGGAGGAUCCAUCUCCCCCCAUAUGCUUCAAGUCCCCACUAUUUAUUCUUGGGGAAUGGGCUCCAGAUCUCCUCUACCCCUCGUGGUGAGCCAUCUCAGACAACACCUGGCCCACUGCAUAUAACAUUCACUUAGGUCCAAAAUGACAAUAACAACAACAAAAAUUAACCCCUAACAAGUUUCUAUCUAUAUUCUCAAGAAAGCAGAAUCAAUAUGAGAAAUUAAGAGAUAAGCAAAUCUGAACCUUUUAACAAGUAACAAAAGAGAAGGACCCAUUUAUUCCCACUAAUUGUCAACCAUACAACUCUCACUAGUAAAAUCAAGAUAGCAAGAUACAAGUUCAUCAUCUGAAUCAUUUCUGUGCUAUUACAAGUGUGAAAAUCCAUAAAGAUCCUGUCUGAUUUAAAUUAAAACUCCACAAUGACAGAA